GCCAGAGCAGAGAAAACACAGGUGUAAUUAAUACCAUUAACGCAGGUUGAUAUGUAUGCUGGGUCCGUGUACAUAACGGCCAAUUGAUGUUCGUUCUGGAGUGGGAAGACAGGAAAGAGACGACGAGCCAUUUCCCGUUUUUAAAAUAAACCGGAAACAAAAAACAGAGCCGUUGUCCGAUUUUCGUUUUGUAACAAUUAAAUCGGAAAACAAAGGACGACUAGUAUUUUUUAUUUUUGUUUUAUGUUAAUCCGGGAAAAAUGAGAAAUCAGGUGCGGGCUUAAAACUGUCUGUUUCGUCGUGCGCUAAAUUGUUUUUAUUUUUCCCCAGAAGUAAGCUAGCGCAGUCCUUUUCUUAGCUAGCUAUCUUCACCCAACUAGCUUGGGUUAAUGUCCAGCUCCACCUGUGCUUUUGCUGCAGUGACAAGUCAAAUAUCUGUUGGGAAGAAGGCUUAAAGGAAGAAGAUAAUGAAGAUGAAGACUUACUUGAUAAACAGUCAGCCAUUUUGAUUUGAUUGACCUAGGCUUUGCUUUAACCCACCUCUGAAAAAAGUGAAGACUCCUCCAGGUGCCGUCACCAGGGUCACACGGCGACACAGAGGACAGGAGGCUGCCUCUACUGACAACUGCACACUGAUGCCCCGUGGGGAAGUUUGAGGUGGGGUGUUACAAGAGGCGAUCAUGGCUGGUGGUGCGAAGGUGUUUGACGGUGUCGGCGGCUGUAUUGGAACGCGCUCGGACUGAGAAUAAGCACAAGAAUUCAUCCAGGAAUUGCAUCUGGACUCAACUUUUAAGGUCAAGGUGAGU